rnacentral:rRNA from 1 species
AGAGUUUGAUCAUGGCUCAGAUUGAACGCUGGCGGCAGGCCUAACACAUGCAAGUCGAGCGGUAGCACAGAGAGCUUGCUCUCGGGUGACGAGCGGCGGACGGGUGAGUAAUGUCUGGGAAACUGCCUGAUGGAGGGGGAUAACUACUGGAAACGGUAGCUAAUACCGCAUAACGUCGCAAGACCAAAGUGGGGGACCUUCGGGCCUCAUGCCAUCAGAUGUGCCCAGAUGGGAUUAGCUAGUAGGUGGGGUAACGGCUCACCUAGGCGACGAUCCCUAGCUGGUCUGAGAGGAUGACCAGCCACACUGGAACUGAGACACGGUCCAGACUCCUACGGGAGGCAGCAGUGGGGAAUAUUGCACAAUGGGCGCAAGCCUGAUGCAGCCAUGCCGCGUGUGUGAAGAAGGCCUUCGGGUUGUAAAGCACUUUCAGCGGGGAGGAAGGCGAUAAGGUUAAUAACCUUGUCGAUUGACGUUACCCGCAGAAGAAGCACCGGCUAACUCCGUGCCAGCAGCCGCGGUAAUACGGAGGGUGCAAGCGUUAAUCGGAAUUACUGGGCGUAAAGCGCACGCAGGCGGUCUGUCAAGUCGGAUGUGAAAUCCCCGGGCUCAACCUGGGAACUGCAUUCGAAACUGGCAGGCUAGAGUCUUGUAGAGGGGGGUAGAAUUCCAGGUGUAGCGGUGAAAUGCGUAGAGAUCUGGAGGAAUACCGGUGGCGAAGGCGGCCCCCUGGACAAAGACUGACGCUCAGGUGCGAAAGCGUGGGGAGCAAACAGGAUUAGAUACCCUGGUAGUCCACGCCGUAAACGAUGUCGAUUUGGAGGUUGUGCCCUUGAGGCGUGGCUUCCGGAGCUAACGCGUUAAAUCGACCGCCUGGGGAGUACGGCCGCAAGGUUAAAACUCAAAUGAAUUGACGGGGGCCCGCACAAGCGGUGGAGCAUGUGGUUUAAUUCGAUGCAACGCGAAGAACCUUACCUGGUCUUGACAUCCACAGAACUUUCCAGAGAUGGAUUGGUGCCUUCGGGAACUGUGAGACAGGUGCUGCAUGGCUGUCGUCAGCUCGUGUUGUGAAAUGUUGGGUUAAGUCCCGCAACGAGCGCAACCCUUAUCCUUUGUUGCCAGCGGUUCGGCCGGGAACUCAAAGGAGACUGCCAGUGAUAAACUGGAGGAAGGUGGGGAUGACGUCAAGUCAUCAUGGCCCUUACGACCAGGGCUACACACGUGCUACAAUGGCAUAUACAAAGAGAAGCGACCUCGCGAGAGCAAGCGGACCUCAUAAAGUAUGUCGUAGUCCGGAUUGGAGUCUGCAACUCGACUCCAUGAAGUCGGAAUCGCUAGUAAUCGUGGAUCAGCAUGCCACGGUGAAUACGUUCCCGGGCCUUGUACACACCGCCCGUCACACCAUGGGAGUGGGUUGCAAAAGAAGUAGGUAGCUUAACCUUCGGGAGGGCGCUUACCACUUUGUGAUUCAUGACUGGGGUGAAGUCGUAACAAGGUAACCGUAGGGGAACCUGCGGUUG